rnacentral:rRNA from 1 species
CCUACGGGUGGCAGCAGUGAGGAAUAUUGGUCAAUGGACGAGAGUCUGAACCAGCCAAGUAGCGUGAAGGAUGACUGCCCUAUGGGUUGUAAACUUCUUUUAUAUGGGAAUAAAAUGUUCCACGUGUGGGAUUUUGUAUGUACCAUAUGAAUAAGGAUCGGCUAACUCCGUGCCAGCAGCCGCGGUAAUACGGAGGAUCCGAGCGUUAUCCGGAUUUAUUGGGGUUAAAGGGAGCGUAGGUGGAUUGUUAAGUCAGUUGUGAAAGUUUGCGGCUCAACCGUAAAAUUGCAGUUGAAACUGGCAGUCUUGAGUACAGUAGAGGUGGGCGGAAUUCGUGGUGUAGCGGUGAAAUGCUUAGAUAUCAAGAAGAACUCUGAUUGCGAAGGCAGUUCACUGGACUGCAACUGACACUGAGGCGCGAAAGUGUGGGUAUCAAACAGGAUUAGAUACCCGAGUAGUC